rnacentral:rRNA from 1 species
GUAAUGGCCUACCAAGGCGACGACGGGUAGCCGGCCUGAGAGGGUGACCGGCCACACUGGGACUGAGACACGGCCCAGACUCCUACGGGAGGCAGCAGUGGGGAAUAUUGCACAAUGGGCGAAAGCCUGAUGCAGCGACGCCGCGUGAGGGAUGACGGCCUUCGGGUUGUAAACCUCUUUCAGUAGGGAAGAAGCCCUCUUUGGGGGUGACGGUACUUGCAGAAGAAGCGCCGGCUACUACGUGCCAGCAGCCGCGGUAAUACGUAGGGCGCAAGCGUUAUCCGGAAUUAUUGGGCGUAAAGAGCUCGUAGGCGGUUUGUCGCGUCUGCUGUGAAAGACCGGGGCUCAACUCCGGUUCUGCAGUGGGUACGGGCAGACUAGAGUGCAGUAGGGGAGACUGGAAUUCCUGGUGUAGCGGUGAAAUGCGCAGAUAUCAGGAGGAACACCGAUGGCGAAGGCAGGUCUCUGGGCUGUAACUGACGCUGAGGAGCGAAAGCAUGGGGAGCGAACAGGAUUAGAUAC